rnacentral:rRNA from 1 species
GAUGAACGCUGGCGGCGUGCCUAAUACAUGCAAGUCGAGCGAACAGACGAGGUGCUUGCUCCUCUGACGUUAGCGGCGGACGGGUGAGUAACACGUGGAUAACCUACCUAUAAGACUGGGAUAACUUCGGGAAACCGGAUCUAAUACCGGAUAACAUGUUGAACCGCAUGGUUCAACAGUGAAAGACGGUCUUGCUGUCCCUUAUAGAUGGAUCCGCGCCGCAUUAGCUAGUUGGUAAGGUAACGGCUUACCAAGGCAACGAUGCGUAGCCGACCUGAGAGGGUGAUCGGCCACACUGGAACUGAGACACGGUCCAGACUCCUACGGGAGGCAGCAGUAGGGAAUCUUCCGCAAUGGGCGAAAGCCUGACGGAGCAACGCCGCGUGAGUGAAGAAGGUCUUCGGAUCGUAAAACUCUGUUAUCAGGGACGAACAAAUGUGUAAGUAACUAUGCACGCCUUGACGGUACCUAAUCAGAAAGCCACGGCUAACUACGUG